GCGCCCUAUUGGGGCGUGUGACGGGCUCGCGCCCUGUCGGGGCGUGUGACGGGCUCGCGCCCUGUCGGGGCGUG
rnacentral:tRNA from 1 species